rnacentral:lncRNA from 1 species
GAAUGCUGUGCACACAAUAGACAUAAGAGGUGCUUAAAUAUUGACGGGAGGAAGAGAGGGAAGGAAACAAGGAAGGAUAAAUUCUUAUUCAGCAUCUCUCAUGAAGCUUGUGGUGAAACAAUGAACAGCAACUACAUGAGUCAGAGAGAGAAGGUUUGGCUCUCAGGAAGGAAAUGAAAGGAAAGAGGGAAGCCUCUUAAGACGUACUGGAGA